GAUGAACGCUGGCGGCGUGCUUAAUACAUGCAAGUCGAAUGAAUUGAAGAUGUGCUUGCACAUCUGAUGUUAGUGGCGAACGGGUGAGUAAUACAUAGGCAACUUGCCCCAAGGACUGGGAUAACACUUAGAAAUGAGUGCUAAUACCGGAUAGGUAAUACAAAGGCAUCUUAGUAUUAUUGAAGUUGGGUAUCCGACACCAUGGGAUGGGCUUAUGCUGUAUUAGCUAGUUGGUGAGAUAAAAGCCCACCAAGGCGAUGAUACAUAGCUGGUCUGAGAGGAUGAACAGCCACAUUGGGACUGAGACACGGCCCAGACUCCUACGGGAGGCAGCAGUAAGGAAUUUUCGGCAAUGGAGGAAACUCUGACCGAGCAACGCCGCGUGAGUGAUGAAGGCCUUCGGGUUGUAAAGCUCUGUUGUAAAGGAAGAAUGUAUAGAAAAGGAAAUGUUUCUAUAGUGACGGUACUUUACUAGAAAGUCACGGCUUACUACGUGCCAGCCGCCGCUGUAA
rnacentral:rRNA from 1 species